rnacentral:lncRNA from 1 species
UGAUGCUAAGCAGAGAUGCCAUGGGCCUGUCCCAGGGCUUGUGUGGCAGGGGAGGGGAGGGACACUGGAGUCAAGGCCUUCAUGGACUGCAGGGCUGGUCGAGUGGAUGCAGGCACUCUGAGGCCGAGUCAUUCAGUGACUGAUAUCAGGACGGACCAAGUUGGAAGAAUCCAAAUCAAGAGUUACUCCAGCAGCUGCAAAUGCCAGAAGGUUUAUUACUCCGGCUUAGCUAUGGGUCAGGACUUGAACUCCAGUACAUCUCGUCUGAUCUCUGUUUGAUCCCUAAAUAUAUUGGUUGCCCAGCUGAGGAAGGCCAGAGUGUUUCUUGCUGGAGAGUUGCGGUGUCUUCAGCAAGUGAAAGAAAGAAAUGAGAAAUAAGCUAAAGCAGGGAGGGUCACGCAAUGCAAUCUUUCCAUAAAUUUGACAGAUGGAAUAACAAAGGCCAAUGUGGUGAUGAUGCUGAGUUUCUUCUGACUUUACAAAGAUGGGGAAAAAUCAUUCAAGAAUGGAAAGAUCCAGUGCCUGAUCUCAGUAGAUCCUGCAGAUGCGCAGCUUAUCAGGUUAACAUGCAUCCCCAGAUCUCUAAAACCAAAGAUUAGAAAUUGAGAUGACACAUAAAGGAGAUGACAACAACCUUCUAAAGCAAACACAGUUUCUAGAGGCUUCUGGAAUUCUUUGGCUUACAGUCUUCUUCCAUCUUCAAAGCCAGUAAGGAUCGGUUAAAUCUUUCUCACAGGACAUCACUCGGACUCUGACCUGCCUUCCUCUCACCUAAAAGCAUCCUUGUGAUAAUAUUGUACUCAUCUGGAUAAACCAGGAUAAUGUCCCAUCUCAUGUCAGCUGAUUAGCAAUCUUAGUUACUUUAAUUCAAUCUGAAAUGUUAAUUCUCCUUUGCUAUUUAACAAAACAUACCCACAGGUUCUGGGAUUGGGGCGUGGACAUAUGUGGGGCUAUUAUUCUGCCCACUGUAGACACUGAGCAUGAUCUCACAUGGCUGGCUGGGACAGAGGAUAUUUUCUAAAAUAGUGUUAUGGACUGACUGUCUGUAUCCCUCCAAAAUACAUAUGUUGAAAUCCUAACCCACAAUGUGAUGGUAUUAGGAGGCGGGGCCUUUGGGAGAUAAUUA